UACAGAGGUCUCAAGCGUUGUUCGGAUUCAUUGGCGUAAAGGGUGCGUAGGCGGCGCGGUAAGUCGGGUGUGAAAUCUCGGAGCUUAACUCCGAACUGCAUUCGAUACUGCCGUGCUUGAGGACUGGAGAGGAGACUGGAAUUUACGGUGUAGCGGUGAAAUGCGUAGAUAUCGUAAGGAAGACCAGUGGCGAAGGCGGGUCUCGUGGACAGUUCCUGACGCUGAGGCACGAAGGUCAGGGGAGCAAACGGG
rnacentral:rRNA from 1 species